rnacentral:rRNA from 1 species
GACGAACCGUGCGAACGUUGUUCGGAAUCACUGGGCUUAAAGGGCGCGUAGGCGGCCGGGUUGGUCGUGGGUGAAAUCCCCCAGCUUAACUGGGGAAGGGCCUACGAUACUGCCUGGCUCGAGGGAGGAAGGGGCGGUCGGAACUGUCGGUGGAGCGGUGAAAUGCGUUGAUAUCGACAGGAACGCCGGUGGCGAAAGCGGACCGCUGGCCCUCCUCUGACGCUGAGGCGCGAAAGCCAGGGGAGCGAACGGG